rnacentral:tRNA from 1 species
GAUAUCUCAGUUGGUAAAGAACCUGCCUGAAAUGCAGGAGACCCCAGUUAGAUUCUUGGGUC